rnacentral:rRNA from 1 species
AUUGAACGCUGGCGGCAUGCCUUACACAUGCAAGUCGAACGGCAGCACGGGUGCUUGCACCUGGUGGCGAGUGGCGAACGGGUGAGUAAUACAUCGGAACAUGUCCUGUAGUGGGGGAUAGCCCGGCGCAAGCCGGAUUAAUACCGCAUACGAUCUACGGAUGAAAGCGGGGGACCUUCGGGCCUCGCGCUAUAGGGUUGGCCGAUGGCUGAUUAGCUAGUUGGUGGGGUAAAGGCCUACCAAGGCGACGAUCAGUAGCUGGUCUGAGAGGACGACCAGCCACACUGGGACUGAGACACGGCCCAGACUCCUACGGGAGGCAGCAGUGGGGAAUUUUGGACAAUGGGCGAAAGCCUGAUCCAGCAAUGCCGCGUGUGUGAAGAAGGCCUUCGGGUUGUAAAGCACUUUUGUCCGGAAAGAAAUCCUUGGCCCUAAUACGGUCGGGGGAUGACGGUACCGGAAGAAUAAGCACCGGCUAACUACGUG